rnacentral:tRNA from 1 species
GUUUUAAUAGUUUAUUAAAAAUAACGGUCUUGUAAAUCGUUGAUAAUAUUUUUAUUUUAAAACU